GCAGGGGUAGCAAAGCCUGGUCAGAGUGCUUGUUGGUUCUUUGCAUUCGCACUUCCAGAAAAAUGCGCAGGACUUAAGAUCCUGUCUCCUAGCGGGUUCGCAGGUUCAAAUCCUGCCCCCUGCA
rnacentral:tRNA from 1 species